rnacentral:rRNA from 1 species
UGCUAGUCGCACGAGUUUAGACUCGUGGCAUAUAGCUCAGUAACACGUGGCCAAACUACCCUACAGACCGCGAUAACCUCGGGAAACUGAGGCCAAUAGCGGAUAUCACUCUCAUACUGGAGUGCCGAGAGUGAGAAACGUUCCGGCGCUGUAGGAUGUGGCUGCGGCCGAUUAGGUAGAUGGUGGGGUAACGGCCCACCAUGCCGAUAAUCGGUACAGGUUGUGAGAGCAAGAGCCUGGAGACGGUAUCUGAGACAAGAUACCGGGCCCUACGGGGCGCAGCAGGCGCGAAACCUUUACACUGCACGACAGUGCGAUGGGGGACUCCGAGUGCGAGGGCAUAUAGCCCUCGCUUUUCUGAACCGUAAGGUGGUUCAGGAACAAGGACUGGGCAAGACCGGUGCCAGCCGCCGCGGUAAUACCGGCAGUCCAAGUGAUGGCCGAUAUUAUUGGGCCUAAAGCGUCCGUAGCUUGCUGUGUAAGUCCAUUGGGAAAUCGACCAGCUCAACUGGUCGGCGUCCGGUGGAAACUACACAGCUUGGGGCCGAGAGACUCGACGGGUACGUCCGGGGUAGGAGUGAAAUCCUGUAAUCCUGGACGGACCACCGAUGGGGAAACCACGUUGAGAGACCGGACCCGACUGUGAGGGACGAAAGCCAGGGUCUCG